GGGUCUUGCGCUGUCACGCAGGCUGGAGUAUAGUGGUGCAAUCAUAGCUCCACUAUGCAGCCUUGAUGCAGAAAUCAUGCAGCCUUGAUCUUCCUGGUUCAAGAGAUUCUCCCACUGUAGCCUCCCUGGUAGCUGGGACUACAGGCACACACAACCAUGCCUGGCUAAUUUUUUAAAAUUUUUAGUAGAGAGGAGGUCUGGCUGUUUUCAGGCUGGUCUUAAACUGCUGGGCUCAAGCAGUCCUCUUGCCUCAGCCUCCCAAAGUGCUGGGAUUACAGGCAUAAGCCACCAUGCCCAGUCCUUUGCCCAUUUUAAAAUCAGGUUAUUUGUUUUCUUGCUAUUUAGUUGUUUGAGUUCCUUAUGUAUUUUGGAUGUUAGCUCAUUAUCACAUGUAUGCUUUGCAAAUUUCCUCCCAACCCAUGAAUUGUCUUUUCAUUCUGUUGUUUCCUUUACUGUGAAGAAGCGUUUUAGUUUGAUGCAAUCCAUUUGUCUAUUUUUUUUAUUGCCUGUGCUGUUGGGGUCAUAUUUAGGAAGUUAUUGCUCAGCCCAAUGUCGUGGAGCUAUUCCUAGUUUUCUUCAAGUAGUUUUACAGUUUCAGGUCUUAAAUACUUAAGUCUUUAAUCCAUUUUGAGUUCAUUUUUGCAUAUAUUGUGAGUUAACAGUCUAAUUUCAUUCUUCUGCAUGUGUAUCUACAGUUUUCCCAACAUUAUUUAUUGAAGAGAUGUUCUUUCCCCAUUGUGUGCUCUUGGCACAUUUGUCAAAAAUCAAUUGAACAUAAAUUCAUAGAUUUAUUUCUGGGCUUUCUAUUCUGUUCCAGUGGUUGGUGAGUGGUAACAAUUUUAACUAAUGUCGACUGUUGACCUUUGAGUACUUCCUAUGUACCCAGCUCUAUUUAAGGUGCAAUAAGGUAGGUAGAUAGUGUUAUCCCCAUUUUACAGAGGAGGAUAUUGAGGCUCAUAAGAGGUUGAGCAAUUUGCCAAACUUUAUAUUUACAAUUCAAACUCAGGAAAUCAAGCUGCAGAGUCCAUGCCCUUUACUAUUACGUAAACUGCCUCUUGCUGAUUGACUUUAUUGAGGAAAAAGAAAAAAUCUUAGAAGUUGGAGGAAAUGGGAAGUCAGUACAGCAGUGAUAAUGUGAUCUGUUUUGUAGGACAUUAGAUUUUUUCAAAUUAGUGAUUAUUUUGGAGUACUUUUGCUAAAGUCUGUGUUUCUGAAACAAAGUGCCUUCAUCCAGUGGGCUAAAUCUGAGAAUAAUUUAUCACAUAUUUGGCAUAUCUUUCUUAGGCUAUAUGUGCUAAUCCCUAACAUGAGCUGAGUUUGAGAACUUAAUGUUUUUACAUAUUACCUCAGAGACUGAAAUCAGUUCUUAAACCAGUAUUGGGUUUUGCCAUUCAGAGAGGCACUGUGGGGCCAUGCCAAGAAACAAAUUAGCUAAAAGUAAGGCUUUCCUUCAGUCGACAACAGUGGGUCUCCUUUCAUCUUGUGGCUCUUUUAAGCUCUCUAACAACCUCUUUCUGUCCUUUCGACUCCAUUCACCUCAAACCCAACAGUUCUUUUUUAUAGUCAACACUGCUAAAUAGUUAUUCAGAGCCCUGCAGCUCUCAUUUCAUUCUUGGCUUUGUCUAAGUUCCUGAGAGAGCUGCAAAAAGAGGUUGAAGAAGUGAAAAUCAUCAGCUCACCCUGUUUGCAUAUCCUGCAGUUUGCCAGCACCCCCUGAGAAAGUUCAAAGUCUAAGGGUACAGUGAGCAGAGAAGCCUCUCCAGGGAGGUUCCCAGUAGCUUGUUUGUUUCACAUUGUGCUCUGGGGUAUAUUUGUUUUUAUUCAGGAAGGUAUUGCCUUUUUAUUUCUUGAUAUAUUUUAUAAGAAAAUGUUUUCUCUUAACAUGAGAGCAAAUUAUACUUAUUUGCUGAACAAAGCAAAGCUAUCUGCAAGGACAUUUUAGUUUUCACUUCAAGCAUCAUUGCUUUUGGCAAUUGUAGACAAAUUAUCGUACUGUUUGAUGAGGUGUAAAAUAAUACGCUUUAACUGGAGAAUGAACACAUUUCCAGAUACAAUAUUAUCGUUCUCUUCUUUUUCAAGUAAUAAUUUCCAAAAGAUGAAUUUUAAUGGACUUUUGCCAUUUAACCAAAGUGAAUCCUUGAGUCUCUGAAGUUGCCCCCACUUAGCACCCGCGUAUAUAACACUUAACAAUUAUUUACACUUUUGAUUAAAUUCAACCUUUAUGUCUGUUUGCAAAAAAGAAUACAUACAAUUUUCUUCACAAAAACCCCAGUGUCAGACAUUUUGUUUUGAUCUUUUUCUUGGCGUAUUAAACUGACAUUGGGCACCAAGAUGAUGAAUUAUGGAAAUACUGCAUUCCUCCCCAGAGGGCCUCAUGACUUUAACUAAAUAUUCUCAUGGCCCAGUCAUUGUGUAGAUUUGCUUUUAAACAUGUCCAGUCUUGGCAUUUUAAAAUAACAUUUUAGAAAUUCACCAGGAAAGGAAGGUGACCGUACAGUUAUCAGAUGAUAAAUUCUAAUCAUGGGACAUUCGCGUGGGUCGUUUGUAAUUGAAGACAGUGCAUCCUUUGUAACUGAAGCUAGUGCAAAUGAGGACAGGAGUGGAGGGACAGAAAGCGGAGAGGUGUACAGCUGCUCUUCUUGCACUGUACCCCUCAUAUCUGCAGCCGGGAUCAGUCUAGAUCUCAUUUGUGAUGCUUGGGUGCCUUGGGGGCUUGGGAAGCCAGCUCAGGCCUUGUGAUCCACUCGGAUUAGUGUUGUCCGGGGUUCUCACUUUCUGACUCCUGGAGGACGAAAUGCCAGAGAGGGAGUGGGAGUGAUUCUUGAGAAUGAAAACAUGAUUUGGGUAGUGAAGAGGUGGAGAGGAGAGGCAGAGGGGAUGUGGAAAAGAGGUAGAAGCAGGGAAGUAAGCAUGAAUAAAGAGUAAAUUGGGCAGGGAGAACAAGAAGGAAAACACUUUCUUCCCCUUACUCCUCCCUGUUUGACAGUCUGGCUAUUUCUGCUUUCUCCCUUAGUUUCCUCUUUUCUCUCCCCCUUUCAUGGCACUGCUCUCCAAAACUUGUUCUGGCAACCCUCUGCCUCAUCUUUUUGUGUCCUUCCCCAACCCCUAUCUCCACCCACCAGCCCAGUUCACUUCCUUUAGUUGCCCCAGCCCCCUUUGCCUAGGGACCCACCAGUGAGUGCCACAUUCACAGCCAUGUCUGGUGCAGUCUGAAACACCUGAGGCCACUCAGGGUCUGUAUUAGAAUUAACCUUUACUAACAGGUUUAACCAGACUUUCCAGGUUCCUUUUAAGUCAGAAUGAACCCCUGCCUUGACCUUGCCCAUCCUCAAAUUGGGGGGCAGCCUCCAGAUCCACAAGACAUGAGAAGCAGGAGCAGGCCUGCCACGUCCCUGACAUGGCGGUAGAGAUUUUAUGAAUGGUAGCUCGGUUCUCCAUCAGUGGUAGCUGAUGGUAGCUUAGUGUCUCCAUCAGUCCUUCAGACAGCAGUGAGAAGAUGUGGGCAACAGCAGUGUCCCUGACUUGUCGGUAGCGUGACUGCAGCUCAGAGAGCAAGUCAUGCCAACCAGGGCCUUCCCCUCCAGAGCCACUGCUUUGCUGCCUUACCAAAUAACGAAUCAAAUGUUUCUUUCCUUUACUUUCUGUUUAGAAUUAAGGACAACUUUUAUUAGCAUCUUUGUCUAAGCUAUAGCAUUAACUCCCAGUUUUUAAUUACAUCUUCUUCACAAAUGUAUUGCAAUUAAUAUUAAAAAUCAGGAAGCCUUGUACUUUGCUAAUAAACUCUGGUGUUUGCAAAUCUGAUUAAGCUCUAAUUAGAAUUCCUUUAUAUUCAAUCUGUUUCGAAUUACUUUUCUGACUAUAAAAAUGUGUAUAUUGUAAAAGAUUCAGGUAAUAUAGAGGGCAAAAUAAAAAUCACCUGUAAUCCCAUUACCCAGAGAUAACCACAUAAUAACAUUUUGUGGUUUCUUUUAGUCUUUUUUUUCUGUAAACUAUAUAUUCGCAAAACUGAGAUCAGUUUAGUGUCAUUUUUUCAGUCAGUAUAGUGUGAGCUCAUUAAAUAUUUGAAAAACAUGAUUUUAAAUUGAUUUCUAAUAUUUCAUGUUAUGCAUGUGCCAUUGAUUUGUUCCUCUUUGAAUCAUUGCCCUCUAUUACUGUUACAUGCACUGGUUGUCUUUCAGUGGAUAGCAGUUGAUAUUAUCAAUUUUUAAAGUCAGUUUGAUAGUUAAAAAAUAGUAUCUUAUACUAUGUAUUGAGUCUUAAGUAUCAAAAUUGCCUAAUUUUUAGAUCAUUUCUUGUUACUUUUAUUUAUGAAUUGUAAAGAUUAAAUAAAAUUAUGGUAUAUUUUUCAGGUAAAAAUUAUUUCAAAAGUUGAAAUAAGUGGUGUUUGUUUUGGUAAAAUUUUACUUCUUUCUAAAGUGUUUUGAUGCAUUUAUUCAUUCAGUCAGCAGAUAUUUAUUCAAUUCCUUCCAGUACAAGGUGUUAAUUGGUUAGAAUAAAAGAAGAAAAGUAUGCUUUCUGCCUUCUAGAAGCUUACAAUUCAGUGAUGGUAACAUAUGUAAAUAUGUGAUAAUGUAACACAAAGAAAUAAAUAUUAAAAUAAAGCUGCAAGCUGGGUGCUGAGAAAACACAAAAGGAAGGUGAUGAAUUUUGACCAGCAGAAUCAAGGGAAGACUUCCUGGAAGAGCUGACAUUUGAGCUGAGCCUUGAAGCAUGGAUUUAAUUUCACUGGGGAAGGCAGUACAGGGCAUUUGAGGCUGAGAGUAUAGUACAUUCAGAGCCAAAGAGGGCUGAGAGCAUAUGUCAUAUUUGAGAAAAGUGAAUGUCCCAGAGAGUCUGGUGUGUUACAUGCCAUAUGGUGGUCAAGUGUAAAGGGGGUAAGGCAGAGAGUGGUUGUAGCCAGUGAACCUACAGCAAGAUAAUCAAUUCAUACGUGCCUGGCUCUGUGCUAAGCUCCUUCUUAUAAGUAGCUUAGCUCAUUGAAUUCACGUUACAAUCCUGUGAACUAUGUAUGUGGCCACUCACAGACGGAAGUAGAAACUCAGAAAGCCUGAGUGAUUCCCUCUAAGUUACAAAGCUUAUAAGAGACAGAACCAGUCCUGAAGUCCAUUCCUUUUUUCACUAUACCAGAUUGAGAAUAUCACCCACUGUAUCUCACAGUAUCAUCUUGAACAUCAGUUGAGAUGAUGAACGUGAAAGUGCUGAUGCCGGGCGCGGUGGCUUACGCCUAUAAUCCCAGCACUUUGGGAGGCUGAAGCCGGUGGAUCACCUGAGUUGGGAGUUCGAGGCUAGCCUGACCAACAUGGAGAAACCCAAUCUGUACUAAAAAUACAAAAAAAUCAGCCGGAUGUGGUGGUGCAUGCCUGUAAUCGCAGCUACUCGGGAGGCUGAGGCAGGAGAAUCGCUUGAACCCAGGAGGCGGAGGUUGUGGUGAGCCGAGAUCGUGCCAUUGCACUCCAGCCUGGGCAACAAGAGUGAAACUCCGUCUCAAAAAAAAAAGAAAGAAAGAAAGUACUUUCUGUAAGCACUGUGCACAUGAUAAGAAUUAUUGUCUGGCAUAGUUUUUGUUAUUGUUGUUGAGCAAAUAAGCUUCAGGUGCUUUUAGAAUCUUAACUCAGUAUUUUAAAGGUGACACAUUUAUUACCAUACUAUUAAUAGUACUGUAAUGUUUCUUUUUAGGUGUAGAGUUAGGAGACAAUCUUGAAAAAUUAGGUAAGAAGGAAAUUAUGAUGGAAAAUUUCAAACAUAUAUAAAGUAGGCCCAGUAGAAUGUUCUGCGUACUCAUCCCCACCUUCAACAUUGGGCAACUCAUAGCCAAUUUUGUUUCAUUUCUACACUCUCCCCUCCCCUUUCUUAUGUUAUCGUAAAGCCAACAUGUAUUUCUUUUCUUCUUGUUUUUUUAACCUUUUCAGAUAUGUGGAAAUACUCUUAAUAUUCUUUUAAAAAUCUAAUUAUAAGUACUAAAAAAGAUAGGUUGGUAGCUGAGACUAAAGGACUGUUAUGUGAAUGAGUUAUUCUCUGACAGGAACUAGCAGGUAAACAGGAUAUUUUAUUUCUCAAGAUUUUCAUAUGAUGGUGACCAACUGCAUUGCAAAAGAAUGGUCACAUUCCAGGGUUGUAACUAGUUCUGGAGGCUUAGUUACGCAAUUGCCGGCUCUGUCAUCUUCUACAGGGAUGUGACCUUACGGAAAAGUAAGGAAUCUGGAGCGUGGCAGAUCACUUUGAAGCUUGCCCAGUUUUUGCAUGUUAUCGUGUAAUAGUGCUAAAACUUUUUGUCCUCCAGCUAGGCAACAUAAGUAUGUAAUUUAGACUUUGGGAAUACUGUAGAGCUGUGAUAAACCCUGCUUUAAGCUGCAUUCUGGGAUCGUAACAUGUAAUUUAGAAGUCAAAAUCCACUUAGAAGAAAAGAAUUUUUAAAGCACGGUAAAUCAGAACCAUUUUUGUGAUUAAUUUUUAUUGAUCUUUUUAAAUUGUUCAUAAUUUUAUAUUCUGGUUCUCAUAAGAACAAAUACAAAUAAUUUUAAACCUUAAAGAUGUUUAAAUCUGUUAAAUAUUUUAUUUAUGUAGGAUUUUUAUUCCUUAAAGUCACAUGUGGAGUUUUUUAUUUUUAACAAGGUAUUAGUACUAUUAGGUAAUACUAAUAUGCAAUAAAUUGAAUAUAUAGUAAUUUUGUAUGUCUCAAUUAUUUUAAGGUUUUUAUGCAUGCUUGAAUUUUUUUCCAAAAUGAAAUGAAUGUAAAUGCACUUUUGUUUUAAAAUAUUCCAAGACAUCUUUGUAUUAAUACAAGGAAGUUUGUGAGUUGGGGCAGGGAAAAGAGAGAUGGAGGAGAUGAAACUCGUGAUAAGAUUGUCAUAACUCCCAAAUAUAUUGUAAUCACAGAUCUAGGUCGGUUUCUGUCAGAGACAUCACCAUUCCACCAGUCUCCCUUCCUGGAAACCUAGAAAUCUUCACUUUUUCUGCUGUCACUUUCUACAUCUAAUGAAUAGAUCCCUAUUGAUUAUUUAUUUAGAAAAAUCUCUGACCGGGCGUGGUGGCUCAUGCCUGUAAUCCCAGCACUUUGGGAGGCUGAGGCAGGUGGAUCAUGAAGUCAGGAGAUGGAGACCAUCCUGGCUAACAUGGUGAAACCCCAUCUCUACAAAAAAAAAAAAAAAAAAAAAAAAAUACAAAAAAUUAGUCGGGUGUGGUGGCAGGCGCCUGUAGUCCCAGCUACUCGGGAGGCUGAGGCAGGAGAAUGGCGUGAACCCAGGAGGCAGAGGUUGCAGUGAGCCGAGAUCCUGCCACUGCUCUCCAGCCUCAGUGACAGAGCGAGACUCCGUCUCAAAAAAAAAAAAUCUCUGGCCUUUAUCUUUUCCAGGUCCUUGACCAGGCUAUAAGUUCUGAUUUUUGUCAACAUUCAUCUAGACUAAUAGCAGUUGAGAAGAAAUGAACAAAUACAUUUUGGCCGUACCAUUUUAUGUAUAUUUAAUCCUUACAGUAAUCUUGUGAGUUAAGACAGUUAUCUGUAUUUUUCAGAUUGUGAAAACUAGGCAGGCUUUUUCAAAUAUAUUACCCUGCAAAGGUAUCUUCUUGCUCUGAGUCUUUCUUGUUCUGAAUCUUUCUUGCUCUGUAAUACAUUUCAUACAAGAAUGCCAGGAUAAUCUCCCUAAAGUGUAACUUUAUUAUAAUAGCUUAAUAAAACCUGUAAUUACUGGCAAAUUACCAGGGAUUUUCACAUGUUUUGUCUCAUUCUGUACAAACUACCCCAUGAGGUUUAUAUUAUCUCAUAUACACCUUGUAAAAUGACCUGUAAUGACUUUUGUUUCCCAUCAAACCAGUUAUAAACUCUUAAUGUUGAUGAUGUUCCGCAUUUUCUGCUGUGGCUUUGUUAUGCCCUUUCAAUCAUCUCUCUCAAUGUAAACUUGGAGCUAGCUUUAGCCAGCUUCCUUAUGGCCCUCUUCAGAUACCAUUUUUAUUUCUUCCCUAAGGUCUACUCAAAACACAACUCUUGUCCGCCUAAUCCCCACCCCAUCCCCCGCCACCUCUGUCCUCUAAUUUAAACACUGCCAGUCCUACAGAGCCCAUUUCAAGUCCUGCGUUUUCCAAAAAGCUUUUCCCUGGCCAGGCGUGGUGGCUCAAGCAACCUAGCACUUUGGGAGGCCGAGGCGGGCAGAUCACUUGAGGCCAGGAGUUCGAGACCAGCCUGGCCAACAUGGUGAAAACCCACCUCUACUAAAAAUACAAAAAUUGGUGUGUUGGCACAUGCCUGUAAUCCCAGCUACUCGGGAGGCUGAGGCAGGAGAAUCACUUGAACCCGGGAGGCAGAGGUUGCAGUGAGCCAAGGUCGUGCCACUGCACUCCAGCCUGAGCAACAGAGUGAGACUCCAUCUCAAUUAAAAAAAAAAAAAAGAAACCUAAAAGCUUUUCCCAAGAGUUUAUAUAUUCCUGCAUUUUUUUCUUCUUGAUUUCCAUUAUCGUAUCUAUUUGCCCUUGAGCAUAUAUUUCUUAAUAUGUUUUCUUCCUAACUACAAAAGUUAUAUAUGCUUGUGGCAAAAAUAUUAUAUAGGAUAUUUGAAAGUGAAAAGAUAACUCCUCUGACCCCAAUCCCAGUUUGUAGAAUAUGUGUCAUUUUUCUGUGCAUAAGCAAGAAUAUGCAUAGCCAUGCAUACACCCACACCUGUGUACACAUGAGAGGUUAUAUAUAGAUGUAUAUAUAGAUACAUGGAGUUAUAUUUUAUACACAUAUACCAUUCUAUGUCAUUUGUUUUUACUUCAAAGUAUAUUGGAAAUCUUUCCAUGUCAGUGAAUACAAAGAAUUGUGUUUAAAUAUACCUUUUUAUUUCCUCAAAUUGUUUCAUGUCAAAUUGUUUUAUUCAUACACAUCUUAUCUUCCUUUGGAAAAGAAAAUGGAAAGUCCUCAAGAGCAGGAAUGGUUACAUACUCAUUCUCUUUUCCAUUCCAUUAUUCUCUACUCUUGGUGCAUUUAUUGCAUAUUUCACUAUUUUUGCUGUGGGAAAUAAAAGAUGCUUGCCUUCUAAUCCCUAAGGAGUUAGGACCUAGUAGGUAAAAGUCCACAUUUUUACAUAUAACGUUAAUGCAGGAAGAAAUUGAGAAGCAACACAGAUUUCUAUUCCUGGAAAUAUGGCAGUUAGGUUAUUUGAACAAUCUUUCUUGCUGAAAAAUAAUUGAAACUGUUGAGUGUGUAUAAGAAAACAUCCUCAGAGCAGCAAAGGGCUGAAAAGAGAAGGAAUUAAAGACUAAAGUCUGAAGGCAAGUGAAAAUUCAGAAAGAAUUGGAGAACUGAAACUUUUUGUGCUUAACAUAGAAUUCAGCACAAUGAUUUGGAGGUGGUGAGGUCAGGGAGUUUCUAGGGUGCUCAGAAGUUUCUAGUUAUAGACCUGGUGGUAGCUGUACAGGAUAAUUAUUUUCUAAAUUUAAAGUAUAUAUUUUGUGCACUUUUCUAUGUACAUGUUAUAAUUUACAACAAAGGAUUAAAUGUAAAAGGACGAGUUGCAAAACUAUAUAUAUAUAUCAUAUGAUCCCAUACAUGUGUAUUUCAUGUAAAUGAGUAUGUGUGUGUGUAUUAUGUAAACAGGGGUCUUAAUAUAUACAUUUUACACAUUUACAUAGUAAGUAUAUAAAUUUAUGUGUAUGUAUAUAUAAAUGUGUGUAUGUUGGGAAUGGAAGUGUUUGCAUAUGUAUGUUUCAUAUACUUAGAAAAAGACCUGGAGGUACUCACUAAACUACUGACUGAGGCCAUCUCUGAGAGACAGGAAGGGCAUGGGGAAGGAACGAGGAAGGAACUUAGACUUUUUGCUUUAUACCACUCCAAUUAAAUUUUUAAACAAUUGUCAUCAUUUAAUGUGUUUUAAAAUCAGAUUUCUAAAAAGAUUUGACUAACAUCUCUGCCCACGGAUAGAAAAGUACUCCCUCUACCAUGCUCUAUACCACUUGGUACAGUAUCUUUCUUUUCUUUCUUUCUUUCUUUUUUUUUUCUGAUCUUGCUCCUUUGCUAGACUCUUAAAAGGAACAAGACCUGUCACGUUUAUUUUUACAUUUCUUGUACCUACUAAAUAUUGGUACAUAGUAGAGGGUCUAUAAAUACUAGUGAAAACUGAAUGAGUAAAUGUACCUUAAGUAGAACAAAGGGCUGUAGGCACCCAGUAGUUAUACAUUUCCUCUGAGGCUCUUGUUACAUUUUUUAAUAUUCUUCUGUACCUGGCACAGCAGUGAGCAUAAAGUUGGCACAGUAAAUACAGGUUGAUUUGAAUUUAAACAACACUUUGUGGAACUGUAGGCAAAUGUGGAGUCCACCAUGUGGUGCCCCUCUUGAUCCCAGGCAGCAGGGACAUGAAAUUACCCUCUGAAAAGUAAACUGAGAAGUGAACACCUAAUAGAUUAAGGUCAAGAGAGGCAACAUAAUCUUAAGAGACAUAAAGACUCUUUGGGGAGUAAGGUUUUUACUAUAACCUAAUCGAGGGCAUUGACAUCUUAAACACACUCACACAGUCUCCAUCAGAAUAGCGGUUUUUCUGUCUCUAAAACAGAGAAAAAGUAAAGCUAUUAAUGUCACUGUUAUGGUUCCUAACAAAGCACUGUCAGAUCAACAACACCUGCCAGAUUGAGGCAAGCAUUCAGUCCACCUGGCAGAUGUCUAACCCCUGUGGCACUGGAAUCCUACAUAAUUAACUCCACUUGCUGUGCUUCCACACACACCAGGCUUCCCUCUGGAAACUGCCUUCUCAAGGAGAUAAUUCACUAUCAGGCUGAUAGAGUAAUUCAGUUAUGCCCUAUUCUUCUAUUGUUCACUGUGAAUUAAUAAAGUCACAUUAUUUUUUUCUCAGUACAUCAGUGUCUUGUGAGUUUUGUUAGCAUAAAUCUGUAUUCCUGAGUCCAGUCAGUGAGACCGGGUAUCAGAGUCUGCAAGGCUUAUCAGGGUAAAUACUACCUUGUGGCCAUCUGUUGGCACAGACUGCUGGAUUCCCCAGGUGAUGCCCGUCUGCAUCGUUGUGUGCCAUGUUUCCUUUCCAUUCCACACUAGAGUUCUCAGAAGUUAUUAAGAACUCCCUAAUAAUGUGCACAUUCCAGUUAGAGAGUACUAAGUUAUGUUACCCCAUGACAGUUGACCUCUUCUGGGUGAAUAUUAUCUGAUUGAUUUUGCAAAUUCCACACCUGUAUGGAUGAAGAGAAUAUAUAUUGUAGAUGCUAGAUCAUGAGGACUCCCAACACCUCAUUUCUAGUCCUGGCUUCACAGCCUCUUCUGGUCCUCAUCUCACUGUCAGCAUUGAUCCUGGCAUCAUAUUCAAGUCCCCUCCUAACCCGGGUCUCUCUUGAGAGUGAAAACUAAAGAAGAUGGAAGACACAAUGAUUUCAACAAGAUUAAGGAUAAGGAUGCAAGUAGAGCAGGCAGGGAACAAGAUUAUAGAAACUUUUUAUUCCAUUUCCAUCUGUCUCUCUUUCCUCACAACAGUCCCAAUAGCAUUUCAAAGGGUUUCAAGUUCCAUGUAAGUUAUAGAAAAAAAUAAAGCACAAGUUCUCUGUGACAUGUUCAGCUUAUCUAUGAAUAUAACGGAACUGAAACCAUAUUUCAAUAAAUUAUUAACAGCAAUCCCUUGCCAAGAAGGAUAUCAGCGCAGAUAACAGGCCAAAUCCAUUAUAACUCUUAAGCAAAUCCUGGAAUUUUAAAAAAAUUGAAUAGUUUAUCAAAUAAGUGCACUGUUAGCUGCGACUUCGUUAAACAGCAUUUUUUUUCCUUUCUUUCCUGUUCCUCCCCCUUUCCCAUCAGCUUCCAGCCAGAAUAAUUGAUAACUAAAUCUCACCAUGAAUUUGUUGGGAAUUUACCCACAAUAGUUCUCAAUUUAUUUUAAGAUUUAAAAUAAUAUAUUUUUAAAUAGUAGAUUAAGACUUUACAGAAAUUUCAGAUAGGAUAAUACAGAACCUUGAAAAGACUUAUUUUUUACAAACUUCCUUAAAAAUUCUUAAUUGUUCUAACAGUCACAGUUUUGUUUAUGUAUACAAUUGGAGUUCUGCAGUAAGACACUGUGGGGUUAUUAGUACACAUAUCAAAUUCAUGAGGCUCCUAUUCCUGUAUAUUGUUACAGAGCUGUUCUUGUAUAUUGAUGUUUAAUGAUAUGGGGCCGAAUUGUUAUUCAAAUAAUUACAGACCAUUCCUGAUUAUUUAGAUACUGAUUAACUAGUCAAUGACUUAUUCCCUUUGACAAAAUUUCCCACCCUCUGGCUUUCCUUUGAUGUUAAUGAGGAAGAAGAUCCAGUUUUCAUCCCAUUUGGCAAGGUUGGUUUCAUGGACUGAGCCACUCUGGAUGUAAGAUCAGUAGCUACUCUGUAGACUUUAUGGUAAUGGAAGUUAGGUUAGGUUGCAUCAGAACACUCAAAAGUCAAGCCUAUCACCAUAUUUGAGAAGAAACUCACAGUAUUUGAUAUACCUUAGUGGAUUUGAAACAACAUCUUAUGAUACAAAAAAAUAGCAUUUUAAAAAUCGGGUGGGGCACUGUGGAUCACUCCUGUAAUCCCAACACUUGGGGAGGCCAGGGCGGGCAGAUCACUUGAGGCCAGGAUUUCAAGACUAGCCUGGCCAACAUGAUAAAGCCCCAUCUCUAUUAAAACUACAAAAAUUAGCUGGGCAUGGUGGUGCACGCCUGUAGUACCAGCCACUCGGGUAGUUGAGACAUGAGAAUUGCUUUAACCCGGGAGGCAGAGGUUGCAGUGAGCCAAGAUCAUGCCACUGCACUCUAGCCUGGGCGACAGAGCAAGACUGUCUCAAAAAAAAAAAAAAAAAAAAAAAAAAAUUCAAA